ensembl:lncRNA
UUUUUUUUUUUUUUUUUUUUUUUUUUUUUGGCUGUUCCCACUGCACGCAGAAGUUCCCGGGCUAGGGAUCAAACCCUCACCAUAGCAGUGAACUGAGCCACAGCGUUGACAAUACUGGAUCCCCAAAUGUUGGGCAGCCAGGGACCUCCUAAACUGCACUAUCUUUUAAAACAGUUUCCCUCAAACAGACUGUAAGCCCUUGAGGGAAGGGAUUACCUUUCUCAUUUUCUUAGUAUCGUCAUAGUACUUAAUUUAGUGUGGUCAGUGUUCAUUUUUCAAUAAAUAUUUACUACUCGAUUCUGGAUUUAGUACACUAUUGUGUUGCAUUGAACAUAAUUCUCUGGAAAAGUCCAAUGAUUUACUUAAACAACAUGAACUGCAAUCUACUAUAGCUCUUCAAAAAACAUUGGAUUGGUAUGGGGCAAUGUGAAAGAUUAAGAUUCGAGUUUUCUAAUUAACUCUGUACAGUUCUUCCCUUUAUAUCUCUCAUCCAUGUUCAAAAAACUAGGCUCAUGAUUUGAUGUUUUAAUAGUCUUUUAAAAGCAGGUUCUCACUUGCUUCGAAAGCCGUAUACAUGAAGCCAAGAACAGGUUAAAACCUGGUCACCUCAUUAAUACUUUUAGUGGCAGCCAAAAUCAGGUUAGGAUUCAGUCAUCUCAUUACUACCUUAUUCGGCACCUCCAAUUUAGUAGCCAGGUGAGGUAUUAAUGAGGUGAUUGAGUUCUAAUCCACUUCUGUGCAAGCAAAGGCACAGUGUUUAAGGCAGAUGAGGAUGUGUUGUGAAAAAUUCCCACUAGACAUCAGUUAUUCAACCCAACCAGAAGAAUAGUCUGCUUGCAAGAUUGUUAUGAAUGAUAUUCAUGUUAUGAAUGAUAUAGCAUGUUUCAGACUUAAAACAGUGUUUGGCUGUAUUAUGUCACUUCACACACACAACUCUGUAUGAAAUAGUCUAUUAUUAUCAUUAUUUGACAGGUGUAAAAAUGGAAACUCAGGUUAAGUGACUUAUCCAAGGUCGCACAGCAAAUAAUUGGCAGAAAUUGUCUGCCUUCCUUUAGGGGUGACACUCUGCAUUCCUUCCCCCUUCCCCAGCCCUGUCUUAUUAUUUUGAGAACACCUCUCAGGUGACUAUUUAUGCACAGCUGGAUACGAGAAGUACUGAACUUUGGCAGUACUUUAUAAACUGGGAGUCAUGAUAUGUUUGUGCGUAAUGAAGCCAAUUUGGUGGUCUGAAGCCACCAUACAACUAUGAAACAGAAUAGAAAUUUUUGGAGUUUUUUACAGGCAGUGAAGGUAAAUAUUUUCCAUGAAACUUUUCCUUUAGUUUUACAGGAACUAGAUGGAUGUGUAUACAGGAUCUAGAUGAAUAUGAAUUUCUUGCUUUGAUUAUGGGUUCAAAGUCAUUUGAAAAACACUAGCUGGGGUUAUAAAUUACAUAGAGGCGAAGAGGGGCAGAGUGCACUGCUUUUGAAGGAGAGGUCUGUAUUGUUAGAAUUAUCUCCCUCACCAAUGUCUCCUUGGGGAAAUUUUAUGAGGGGUAAGGGGGCAAUUAAGAGCUGCAGGAAUGGAACAGGCUUCUAGAGUAGAAACUGCCUUGUUAAGAAAAGAAUGACUCCUUCAUUUGUCCUUUAAAUGUAGAAAGCCUCAUGGUUUUUGUGGUUACAUUUCUCAGCUUGUUACGCUGGAAGUUUUUCAGCUAACAUGGCUCAUGUAGAGACAUGUGACUUUGAUUCUUACAUGAUAAACCUGGGGGAGUCUGCAUGGAGCAGGCUUGCUCUGUUACACUCUAAUCCUCUUGCAGCAACAGACAAGAUGUUUCCUUAUUUUUGCAGCUGCUGCUGACUCUGGUUUGGACCAAACCACUAUCAGCUGCAGAACUGACACAACUGUAAUUUUUAAUGCUAAUAAAACUAAUAUGCUUCAAGAAGUUGGGCAAAGUAAGUUGGACCAAAUGUUCCAGUUUUAUUUUCUGAAUAAUAUUUCUUGGGAUGUUGGUUUUACUUUGAGCUUCACUUGGGUGUGUGUGUGGCGGGGGGUGAGGGGGGGGAGCUUUGAAUUAUUCCCAUUCAAGAGGAACAAAGCUGAACUCUGUACAACCUGACAUACAAGCCCACACUGUCAAACUUGAGGUUUAACAAGGUAGGUAGCUGUUACUUUAAAACCAAACAAACGUCAAAGGCCUUUUAUUUAGCUCUUCUUAGAAGAAAGGAGAAAAUUAAAAGAAUGAAAGUGGUUUGUAUAAAAUAGAUAAGCAAUGAGAAUUUACUGUAUAGCACAAGGAACAUCUUGCCGUAACCUAUAAUGGAAAAUAAUCCUAAAAAAUACGUACAUAUAACUGAAUCACUUUGCUGUAUACCUGAAAUUAACGCAAUACUGUAAAUCAGGUAUACUGCAAGAAAAGAAAAAGGAAACAAAACACCAGGAGGCUUAAAAAAAACUAAAAGUGAUGUUGGGCAAAUAUCGCUAUUGGUGUUUUCCUGGAGACACUGUUACAAGUUCGAUAAGCAUGUUGCCCAGCACUUUCUCGUCUUGCCAGAAAGUAUCUACUCUCCUGGCUUGGUACAUGCACAGGCCCCCAGUAAUGCCUACACAUGUCCAUUCUGACCUAAUCAUUUUAUUAGUCCAGGUAACUGGAACAUGUCUUAUUUCCCCGGUAAUGCUUCUCCUUGCAAAAUAGGUAACCCAUCAAGUUGAGAUUUUCAAGUGAAGCCAUGACAGGCAAAAUAUGGCAUCUUAAUCUUACAUUUCAAAAACUGUUAUUAAAGUCAGGAUAUUUGGUUAAGUACAGUAGAC